UACGUAGGGUGCGAGCGUUGUCCGGAAUUAUUGGGCGUAAAGAGCUCGUAGGCGGCUUGUCGCGUCGGAUGUGAAAGCCCGGGGCUUAACUCCGGGUCUGCAUUCGAUACGGGCAGGCUAGAGUUCGGUAGGGGAGAUCGGAAUUCCUAGUGUAGCGGUGAAAUGCGCAGAUAUCAGGAGGAACACCGGUGGCGAAGGCGGGUCUCUGGGCCGAUACUGACACUGAGGAGCGAAAGCGUGGGGAGCGAACAGG
rnacentral:rRNA from 1 species